rnacentral:rRNA from 1 species
CGGGUCGCAGCAGGCGCGAAAACUUUACAAUGCGGGAAACCGUGAUAAGGGGACACCGAGUGCCAGCAUCAUAUGCUGGCUGUCCGGGUGUGUAAAAUACACCCGUUAGCAAGGGCCGGGCAAGACCGGUGCCAGCCGCCGCGGUAACACCGGCGGCCCGAGUGGUGAUCGUGAUUAUCGGGUCUAAAGGGUCCGUAGCCGGUUUGGUCAGUCCUCCGGGAAAUCCGAUGGCUCAACCAUUAGGCUUUCGGGGGAUACUGCCAGGCUUGGAACCGGGAGAGGUAAGAGGUACUACAGGGGUAGGAGUGAAAUCUUGUAAUCCCUGUGGGACCACCUGUGGCGAAGGCGUCUUACCAGAACGGGUUCGACGGUGAGGGACGAAAGCUGGGGGCACGAACCGGAUUAGAUACCCGGGUAAUCCCAGCCGUAAACGAUGCUCGCUAGGUGUCAGGCAUGGCGCGACCGUGUCUGGUGCCGCAGGGAAGCCGUGAAGCGAGCCACCUGGGAAGUACGGCCGCAAGGCUGAAACUUAAAGGAAUUGGCGGGGGAGCACAAGCCGAAUUC